UGAGUAACACGUAUGCAACCUGCCUGCCACAGCCGGAUAAUCGGGAGAAAUUCCGUCUAAUACGGCAUAAUGCAUCGACGGGACAUCCUGUUGGUGCCAAAGGUUGAUUCCGGUGGCGGAUGGGCAUGCGUCGCAUUAGUUAGUUGGCGGUGUAACGGACCACCAGGACGACGAUGCGUAGGGGUUCUGAGAGGAAGGUCCCCCACACUGGUACUGAGACACGGACCAGACUCCUACGGGAGGCAGCAG
rnacentral:rRNA from 1 species